rnacentral:rRNA from 1 species
CUACGGGGGGCUGCAGUGAGGAAUAUUGGUCAAUGGACGGAAGUCUGAACCAGCCAUCCCGCGUGCAGGAAGACGGCCCUAUGGGUUGUAAACUGCUUUUCUGAAGGAAGAAUAAUUCCGAGUUUCUCGGGAGAUGACGGUACUUCAGGAAUAAGCAUCGGCUAACUCCGUGCCAGCAGCCGCGGUAAUACGGAGGAGUGCAAGCGUUAUCCGGAUUUAUUGGGUUUAAAGGGUGCGUAGGCGGGUAAGUAAGUCAGUGGUGAAAUCUCUCGGCUCAACCGGGAAACUGCCAUUGAUACUGUUUAGCUUGAGUUCGGCAGAGGUAGGCGGAAUGUGUAAUGUAGCGGUGAAAUGCUUAGAUAUUACACAGAACACCAAUUGCGUAGGCAGCUUACUAUACCGACACUGACGCUGAGGCACGAAAGCGUGGGGAGCGAACAGGAUUAGAUACCCCAGUAGUC